rnacentral:rRNA from 1 species
AUUGAACGCUGGCGGCAGGCCUAACACAUGCAAGUCGAGCGGAGCGGCGGACGGGUGAGUAAGGCCUAUGAAUCGGCCUGUUAGUGGGGGAUAACGUCCAGAAACGGGCGCUAAUACCGCUUACUCUCAGCUUCGCCUGGGUCGGAUUAGCUAGUUGGUGGGGUAAAGGCCUACCAAGGCGACGAUCCGUAACUGGUCUGAGAGGAUGAUCAGUCACACUGGAACUGAGACACGGUCCAGACUCCUACGGGAGGCAGCAGUGGGGAAUAUUGGACAAUGGGCGAAAGCCUGAUCCAGCCAUGCCGCGUGUGUGAAGAAGGUCUUCGGAUUGUAAAGCACUUUAAGUUGGGAGGCGUUACCAGCAGAAUAAGCACCGGCUAACUCCGUGCCAGCCGCCGCGGUAAUUC